rnacentral:rRNA from 1 species
UACAGAGGUCCCAAGCGUUGUUCGGAUUCAUUGGGCGUAAAGGGUGCGUAGGCGGCGCGGUAAGUCGGGUGUGAAAUCUCGGAGCUUAACUCCGAAACUGCAUUCGAUACUGCCGUGCUUGAGGACUGGAGAGGAGACUGGAAUUUACGGUGUAGCGGUGAAAUGCGUAGAUAUCGGGAGGAACACCAGCGGCGAAGGCGGCACUCUGGGCUGGUACUGACGCUGAGGAGCGAAAGCGUGGGUAGCAAACAGG